rnacentral:rRNA from 1 species
GGGUCACAUUCCACGUGAUCCGUGUCGCAGCUAACGCAUUAAGCGCCCCUCCUGGGGAGUACGGCCGCAAGGCUAAAACUCAAAGGAAUUGACGGGGGCCCGCACAAGCGGCGGAGCAUGCGGAUUAAUUCGAUGCAACGCGAAGAACCUUACCAAGGCUUGACAUAUAGAGGAAAACUGCAGAAAUGUAGUCCCCGCAAGGUCUCUAUACAGGUGGUGCAUGGUUGUCGUCAGCUCGUGUCGUGAGAUGUUGGGUUAAGUCCCGCAACGAGCGCAACCCUCGUCCUAUGUUGCCAGCACGUUAUGGUGGGAACUCAUGGGAGACUGCCGGGGUCAACUCGGAGGAAGGUGGGGAUGACGUCAAAUCAUCAUGCCCCUUAUGUCUUGGGCUUCACGCAUGCUACAAUGGCCGGUACAAAGGGCUGCAGUACCGCAAGGUGGAGCGAAUCCCAAAAAGCCGGUCUCAGUUCGGAUUGAGGUCUGCAACUCGACCUCAUGAAGUCGGAGUCGCUAGUAAUCGCAGAUCAGCAACGCUGCGGUGAAUACGUUCCCGGGCCUUGUACACACCGCCCGUCAAGUCACGAAAGUCGGUAACACCCGAAGCCGGUGGCCUAACCGUAAGGAAGGAGCCGUCGAAG